GUGAAGACUUGUUCAACUUUUGCAAGAAGAAGAAAGAAUAGGCAAAGAAAUUGAAGGGAAAUAAAAGGAGUUGUGUAAGGAAAGGAAUGAAAGUAAUAAAUGAAUAAUAAUAAUAAUAAUAGGGAGAAGAAAAAAAGGAUUAAUCAUAGUUGACAAUGGUGGACAAGUGUAUUGCCUGUGACAGGGUGUGCCUUGGUUGGGAUAUGGAUCCUCUAUUCUUCUUUGU
rnacentral:lncRNA from 1 species